rnacentral:rRNA from 1 species
UAGUCAUAUGCUUGUCUCAAAGAUUAAGCCAUGCAUGUCUAAGUAUAAAUAGUAUACAGUGAAACUGCGAAUGGCUCAUUAAAACAGUUAUAGUUUAUUUGAUAAUUGCCGAAAAGCUUACAUGGAUAACCGUGGUAAUUCUAGAGCUAAUACAUGCUGUCAGACCCGACUUUCGUGGGAGGGUUGUAUUUAUUAGAUAUCAAGCCAAUAUUCCCAAAAGGUCUAUUGUGGUGAAUCAUAGUAACUGAUCGAAUCUCGGGGUCUCCCGAGAUAAAUC